UGGGGGAUAUUGCACAAUGGGCGAAAGCCUGAUGCAGCGACGCCGCGUGGGGGAUGAAGGCUUUCGGGUUGUAAACCUCUUUCGCUAUCGAACAAGGCCCGCUUAGGGUGGGUUGAGGGUAGGUGGAGAAGAAGCGCCGGCUAACUACGUGCCAGUAGCCGCGGUAAUACGUAGGGCGCGAGCGUUGUCCGGAAUUAUUGGGCGUAAAGGGCUUGUAGGCGGCUUGUUGCGCCUGCUGUGAAAACGCGGGGCUUAACUUCGCGCGUGCAGUGGGUACGGGCAGGCUUGAGUGUGGUAGGGGUGACUGGAAUUCCAGGUGUAGCGGUGGAAUGCGCAGAUAUCUGGAGGAACACCGAUGGCGAAGGCAGGUCACUGGGCCAUUACUGACGCUGAGGAGCGAAAGCAUGGGUAGCGAACAGG
rnacentral:rRNA from 1 species